AACGUAGGGGACAACCGUUAUCCGGAGUUACUGGGCGUAAAGGGCGUGUAGGUGGUUACGUAAGUCUGGCGUGAAAUUUCUCGGCUUAACCGAGGCAGGUCGUCGGAUACUGCGAGACUAGAGGACGGUAGAGGCGUGUGGAAUUCCGGGUGUAGUGGUGAAAUGCGUAGAGAUCCGGAGGAACACCAGUGGCGAAGGCGACACGCUGGGCCGUACCUGACACUGAGGCGCGAUAGCAUGGGGAGCAAACAGG
rnacentral:rRNA from 1 species